UUGUAGCCAUUGGAAAAUUUCCAAAGAGGAAGGGAGAUCAGACAAACAUGCACUGACGAACACAAUCAAGGCAGGCAUUCUAAAUCUUGGCACUAGAAGAAGCUGGCAAGGACUGCUACUUGGCCUACCGCUACUAAAGUCUGAUACUCCUAAGCUAAUGGCUGUUUCUUCAAAUUUUUCUAGGUGCUGAAUGUUAAGAUUUUUGGAUCUGAGGAAAGAUUGUCUCAAGCCUCAGGAGAAGCAUGUGUCAUACAGUCAUCACUGGGACUUCUCACUGGUGACCAUUUGUCUCCUUCUGUCUGGCACAUGAAGACUGAACCCCUUGUGUUGGAUGAGCCUGUAUAACAGAUCUGAUGUACGUGACCUCGCUCUACCAGGGAAGAGAUUGGGGCACCUGCUGGCCCGGAACCUACUGGGAUGAAAACCUCACUAAAACAUCCAAGAGUCUGACAAUCAGUACCGACCCAUCUGAAGAUUUCCUGCCUUCUCUGCACUUUCUACCUGCUUGUCCUCUUAGACAUGGGAGAUGCUUCAGAAACCGAUCCCGGGUUUCCAGGCAAGACUGAGUUUUAACACCAACAAUGCAGCAGAGGUUCACAGAGUAAUCACUGUAUUCCAGACCCUCUUGCAAAGGCUUUAUGCACAUGAACUCAUUUAACCUUUGGAUCCAUGC